rnacentral:rRNA from 1 species
UGGGGAAUAUUGGACAAUGGGCGCAAGCCUGAUCCAGCCAUGCCGCGUGAGUGAUGAAGGCCUUCGGGUUGUAAAGCUCUUUUGGCGGGGACGAUGAUGACGGUACCCGCAGAAUAAGCCCCGGCUAACUUCGUGCCAGCAGCCGCGGUAAGACGAAGGGGGCAAGCGUUGUUCGGAAUUACUGGGCGUAAAGGGCGCGUAGGCGGUCCGAUCAGUCAGGCGUGAAAGCCCUGGGCUUAACCUGGGAGGUGCGCUUGAUACUGUUGGGCUUGAGUGUGGGAGAGGGUGGUGGAAUUCCCAGUGUAGAGGUGAAAUUCGUAGAUAUCCGGAGGAACACCAGUUGCGAAGGCGGUCUCUUGGUCCGACACUGACGCUGAGGCGCGAAAGUGUGGGGAGCAAAC